UUGACAAUAAAUUUCAUAUUUAAAAAAAAUAAUAAAAAGAUAAAACUGUGAAAAAAAAGAAUAUAAAUAAGUACAUACAUACAUACAUACAUACAUACAUACAUACAUACAUACAUACAUAAAAUGGGUUUCCAAAAGGGAGUUUUCAGAUGUGCUUCCCAGCGCAUGCUUUUCCCUCUCAGGCUAGGGAUUGCAGGGCUGGGAGGAGGGAGGAAUGGGAGACAUAAGAGAUGAUUCACUGAGUUGUUUUCAAAGCUAUCCUUGUCUCCUAACUUUAUCCAUGAUGUUGGGUAGAAUGACCGACAAGUGCUCAGAAGGCUUUUGUAACUUCCAUAAGUAUAAAGGUUUGCAAUAAGCUUUUGUAUUUUUGGCUAAGGCAUCAGAGAUCCCUAGAGAUAGUAUUCCUGGUGUUGUGUUAAUAUCUGACUCUUAGGAAUUUGCAGUAUUGGGGAUAGCUCUCCAAAGAGAUAAUUAUGAAAUAACAUGACACGUGCAAUAGCAAAAGUCCAAUGCAACUGUAUGGAAGUAAUUCAGAGGAGGGAAUUCCUUACUUUGGAAGACUUUAAUGUAUGAAUAGAAACUUACCAGGUGAGCAGAACAGAGUUCACUAGGAAACAAACAAACAAAACCAUGAAAUUUAAGAAGUACAUGAAGAGAAAACUUAGUAAGUGGUGCUUUAUUACUUUCAAGAUAUUAAGGCUGCAUUCUUGGAUUCCCGAGACUUGAAAAGAACAUGAGGCAACAUGUGAAAAGCACAUUAUUGGCACUUCCUAAACAUUAAUUGAAUGACUGGAAGCCAAUUCCGUACUUCCAAACUGAACUUUUUGGGUAAAAUAUAUUUUUUUCGGUAUAUGCAAAGAACCACUGCAAUGUCUAACACACAAUAGAUCCCCCCAAAUAUAAGCAGCAGCAUGGCAUCUAACACACAAUAGACCCCCCCCCCAAAUAUAAGCAGCAGCACUUUUUCAUGGUGGAAGCUGUGUGAUCAUUGGAAGUAUUUUGCUCCACAAUUCUCAUGCCUGUCACUGUGUCAAGAGAAUUGUAGGCGAUGCAUUUCGGAAAUCAUGUUUCAUAUUUGCCUUGGGAUGACUUGGAAGAGGAGCAUUUUUGCAUGUAAAUGGAUUGGUUACUGCCUUUUGGGGGCAAUUUUUAUUUAUAUUAUCAAGUUAACUCCUUCCUACACUUUGCUAGCUUAAAAAUACAGGCAAGCACUGAGCAAUAAAAUAAAAUUAUAUUUUUGUGUGACUUUAAUUGCUGCACAAAUUAGGUUUCAGGGCUCAUUGUUUGUGAGAGUUGGGAAUAGCCUGUCAAUAUCAUUUGUCUAGAGGUUAUGGUUCACAUUUCAAAGCUUCAUUUAAUUGGAAGUACAAUAGAGAGCAGUUUGAAGUGGUCUGGCUCUUACAAGCUGAAGGAUUUGAAGAAAUGAGUUGAAGAACAGACCUGUCCUUGUGGUGACAAUGAUGGCUUGCCAGGAGCAGGCACAGUCCGAGUGGGUUUUCUUAGGGAGGUGCUGGGUUGUUGCUGAUACUCAUUGAAACUCUGGGCACAUAGUUGUGAUGUGACUGACUGGCUCUGCCAGAGUCAACUUCCUUUUUUUUAAUGAUUUUAAUUUUUUUUUAUGUUUAUUUUUUAGAGAGAGAGAAACAGAGCAUGAGUAGGGGAGGGGCAGAGAGAGAGAGGGAGACACAGAAUCUGAAGCAGUCUCCACGCUCUGAGCUGUCAGCACAGAGCCCAAGACGGGGCUCAAACCCACGAACAGUGAGAUCAUGACCUGCGCUUAAGUCGGAUGCUUAACCAACUGAGCCACCCAGGUGCCCCCAGAGUCAACUUCUUUACCAAUGGAUAAUGUAAAAAUAACUGGUUUAAACAGGACUUGCCAUGGAAUCCCAUAUGGUGAUCGCCUCUGGUCCUGUGGGUGUCCUCACCUUGUGGCUCCUUAUCUGGGCCCAUUCAGACCUGUUGGGCCCCCUUUCAAGCCCUCAAACUCAUUCUGCUCUGCCUCUCUCCCCUUUCAUACCUCAGAGCGUGACCCUCAGGAACUGACUCCCUAUAUCUCUGGAACCCCCAUUUCCUACAUCCUUUCCUGGAUGUACUGCAUCUACUCAUCUUGAUCUUGGUUCUCUCUUGCACAGCAAACCCUCCAUUCUUCCCCCUCUUCUCUGGCUUGCCCUGUUCUGUUGCAAUAUAAUCCCUGUUGUAACAAGAGACCAGGACCACAGAUUAUCCGUGAAUCUGUGAGCAGAAAGAGCAGAGAAAGGAACGGCAUCGAAUGUUAACUAUUUUAUAAAACAUAGAUUUAAUCUCUACCAACUGCUGUGAAAUUGGUUCUCUUAUUGAGAAUAUCAGAAACUAUUUUUUUUUUCUCGAAAGGUAGAUUACUUGUGUGUGAAAUUGAUAUGUGUUUCAGAAUUGAAAGAGGUUUACUCAUGCGUUAGAUCUGGAAACCAAGAAGAAUGUGAUAACAGCCCCGAAGCUUCCCUUUUCCUGAUGGUGAAGAAGCUGUUUCUCAUUUUGUGUCACCUAAAGAAUACCCUGCCUUUGGCUCAGUAGCUUUUUGCCACCAUAUUGCCAGUGGACAUGCUUGGCAAAGCUGAGUUAAGGAUUUUGGCAUUUUCAUUUUUCCUUUUGGCAUGAUUUUUCAUCAGCCUGCAUUUCUGGAAUGCCUUUCCCUGGUAUAUUUGGAAAAUUCAAGCUGGCAAGAUGAUAAGCUUUCAGAAUUUCACCAACUAUUCCUUUGAAGGCACUCCAGAAUUAUAAGAGAUGCAUGAUAUUGGGCCUUGUUCUUCUGGCCUCCGUGUUGUUCUCAGGUCAGCCCACCCCAUUUGCCCAGCUUUAAUCACACCUCAAGGACUUCCAAACUUCAACUCUCCAACCCUGUGAAUGCCAGUCAUGGUCACGCAUCCGAGGUCAACGUCUGGAAGAGGAAAGAAUAGAAGAUCUAUUCACAAACAUGUUUGCAUUUUGUAGAUCUGGUUUUAUCUUGGUGUUUGUAGGUCUUGUUUAUAUUGUAGGCAUUUUGAAGGAGAAUACAAAAAUGGCCAAGUCCAGGGAAAUAAACCUACUCCUAUUAAUGUCUCAUGAAUAUGAGUUACGAAAUGGAACUCUCCCUUAGGAUGCUAUUGGAAUCAUCCCAGCUGCUUCAGCAACUCGCUUGUAGGAGCUCUGAGCCUGUGGUGUAGUAAACUGCUUGUGGUACUUCACAGACACCUGACUUUGAAUCCUGAGUUGCACCCUUACUGGAUGGUGACUGUAGAUGCACUACUUAAAAGUUGUAGGUCCCAGUUUCCCUUUUUGGAAAAUGGGCAUUUUUAAUGGUAUUGGCCCAUCAUAAGUACUGCAUAUACAUUUGCUAUUAUUUCUCUCAUCCUCCCCCAGAUGUCAGCACUGUAUCACUGUAUCAUACAAUCUUUAGCAUCCAGGGACCUAAAGAUAGAGUGCCAUUAAGCAGACUUGGUAAGUUCUGCUUAUGGUCAUCUCCCAAUAAGGGUGAGGGAAAGAGAAGCAUCUACCUUUUUGUAUGAGGAUUUUUCUAUGGAAUAUUGUUAUGAUUAUCUCCCCAUGGGGAUAAAAGGAUACAUAAAAGGUAUUCUGGCCAUGUUUAGUUGAAGUUUUGCAUAUGUUUUCAUUUUAAAAUGCAUCAUGUAAAAAAAAAUCAGAGAUAACGAUCUACUAGUUAACCCAACUAACUAAAGAAAUACGUCUCUUGAAUAAAAUAAAACAGUUGAACUGA